rnacentral:rRNA from 1 species
UGUAGUCGGCACGAGCGCACCCCUGUGAUUAGUUACUAACAUUUAGUUGAGGACUCUAAUCAGACUGCCCAGAUCAACUGGGAGGAAGGUGGGGAUGACGUCAGGUCAGUAUGGCCCUUACGCCUAGGGCUGCACACGUACUACAAUGCCCAGUACAAUGAGAACCGAGACCGCGAGGUGGAGGAAAUCUACAAAACUGGGCUCAGUUCGGAUUGGAGGCUGCAACUCGCCUCCAUGAAGUUGGAAUCGCUAGUAAUGGCACAUCAGCUACGGUGCCGUGAAUACGUUCCCGGGUCUU